rnacentral:rRNA from 1 species
UACGGAGGAUGCAAGCGUUAUCCGGAUUUAUUGGGUUUAAAGGGUGCGUAGGCGGAUAUGUAAGUCAGCGGUGAAACUCACAGGCUCAACCUGUGCCGUGCCGUUGAAACUGUGUAUCUGGAAUGCGGAUGCUGUGGGAGGAAUGUGUAGUGUAGCGGUGAAAUGCUUAGAGAUCACACAGAAUAUCGAUUGCGAAGGCAGCUCACAAAGCCAAGAUUGACGCUGAGGCACGAAAGUGUGGGGAU